rnacentral:rRNA from 1 species
CACGUAGGGUGCAAGCGUUGUCCGGAUUCAUUGGGCGUAAAGGGCUAGUAGGCGGCUUAGCAAGUCGGGUGUGAAAACUUCAGGCUCAACCUGGAGCGGCCACCCGAUACUGCCAUGGCUAGAGUCCGGUAGGGGACCACGGAAUUCCUGGUGUAGCGGUGAAAUGCGCAGAUAUCAGGAGGAACACCGAUGGCGAAGGCAGUGGUCUGGGCCGGAACUGACGCUGAAUAGCGAAAGCGUGGGUAGCGAACAGG